rnacentral:rRNA from 1 species
GACAGAGGGUGCAAACGUUGUUCGGAAUUACUGGGCGUAAAGCGCGUGUAGGCAGCUCGGAAAGUCGGGUGUGAAAGCCCUGGGCUUAACCUAGGAAGUGCACUCGAAACUUCCGAGCUUGAGUUCUGGAGAGGAAGGCGGAAUUCUCGGUGUAGAGGUGAAAUUCGUAGAUAUGGGGAGGAACACCGGUGGCGAAGGCGGGCACCUGGACGGAUACUGACGCUGAGACGCGAAAGCGUGGGUAGCAAACAGG